rnacentral:tRNA from 1 species
AAGGCUUUAGCUUAAUUAAAGUAUCUGUUUUGCAUGCAGAUGAUGUAGGUUAAAUUCCUGCUAGUGUUU